CUUUUUGUUAAAAAAAAAAUAAAAAAGUAUAGUUGGCCUACCACAGGAAAAAAUAAUACUUAAAUUGAAGUGGAAAAGAGGAGAGUUGAGGCAUAAAGACGUGGAAAAAUGUGGCAUUAUACACUUUUCAGCUCAUUAGAAUGUGAAGUUCUUUGAUGCAUCUAUGAAUGGCUUGGGGAAAGUAAUAACCUUAUCUGAAAGGUCCUCCUCUCUGCUGCCUCCCACAAAAAAAGAACAAACCCUGCCCCCUAGAACAACUGGGCAUUGCUGUGAGAAUAGUAACAGCGCAUUUCUGUUGUAUUACAGCCGGAAAGCUUCUGUCUGUCAUUUGUUUCCCUAUGAUGAUGUUGGAAACAGCA